CACUUCUCCAACUUGUAUGGAGGUAGAGGUGCAGCGUCCACAGUGACCAGGGUGGAUUAGGCUUCUAUGGUCCAGCCAGCAGGAAAACUCAUCAACUACAGGAUUCCAAGGAGUAGUGUAGAAAAUCAGACAGAUCGUGCAGAAAAUGAAAAUACAAUUCAAUAGUUAAUUUUAUUCACACCAAA